AGGACGAACGCUGGCGGCGUGCUUAACACAUGCAAGUCGAGCGGAAAGGCCACUUCGGUGGUACUCGAGCGGCGAACGGGUGAGUAACACGUGAGUAAUCUGCCCCUGGCUUCGGGAUAGCCACCGGAAACGGUGAUUAAUACCGGAUACGACAACUUCUCGCAUGGGAUGGUUGUGGAAAGUUUUUCGGCCAGGGAUGUGCUCGCGGCCUAUCAGCUUGAUGGUGAGGUAAUGGCUCACCAUGGCUUCGACGGGUAGCCGGCCUGAGAGGGUGACCGGUCACACUGGGACUGAGACACGGCCCAGACUCCGUACGGGAGGCAGCAGUGGGGAAUAGUUGGACAAUGGGCGGAAGCCUGAUCCAGCAACGCCGCGUGAGGAUGACGGCCUUCGGGUUGUAAACCUCUUUCAGUACCGACGAGCGCAAGUGACGUAGACAGAAGAGCGACGCCAAC
rnacentral:rRNA from 1 species